GCCUGGCUGGCUCAGUCAGUAGAGCAUGAGACUCUUGAUCUUGGGGUGGUGAAUUCGAGCCCCACGUUGGGUG
rnacentral:tRNA from 1 species